rnacentral:rRNA from 1 species
UACGUAGGUGGCAAGCGUUGUCCGGAUUUACUGGGCGUAAAGAGCGCGCAGGCGGUUAUUCAAGUCGAAUGUGAAAGCCCCCGGCUUAACUGGGGAGGGUCAUUCGAUACUGUUUAACUUGAAGGCAGGAGAGGGUAGUGGAAUUCCCGGUGUAGUGGUGAAAUGCGUAGAUAUCGGGAGGAACACCAGUGGCGAAGGCGACCCGCUGGGUCACACCUGACACUGAGACGCGACAGCAUGGGGAGCGAACGGG